AUUGAACGCUGGCGGCAUGCUUUACACAUGCAAGUCGAACGGUAACAGGCCUUCGGGUGCUGACGAGUGGCGAACGGGUGAGUAAUGCAUCGGAACGUGCCCAGUCGUGGGGAUAACGUAGCGAAGUUACGCUAAUACCGCAUACGUCCUGAGGGAGAAAGCGGGGGAUCGCAAGACCUCGCGCGAUUUGGAGUGGCCGAUGUCAGAUUAGCUAGUUGGUGGGGUAAAAGGCCCACCAAGGCGACGAUCUGUAGCGGGUCGUGAGAGGAUGAUCCGCCACACUGGGACUGAGACACGGCCCAGACUCCUACGGGAGGCAGCAGUGGGGAAUUUUGGACAAUGGGGGAAACCCGUGAUCCAGCCAUGCCGCGUG
rnacentral:rRNA from 1 species